rnacentral:rRNA from 1 species
UGAGUGCGAGCUGCUACGGCAGCGAAGUUGGUGACGUCAAGCUUCCAAGAAAAGCCCUAUACCCGUUAAGGCAUCAUGGCCUGUACCCGAAACCGACACAGGUGGGGUGGUAGAGAAUACCGAGGGGCGCGAGGUAACUCUCUCUAAGGAACUCGGCAAAAUGGCCCCGUAACUUCGGGAGAAGGGGUGCCACCGCAAGGUGGUCGCAGUGAAGAGGCCCAGGCGACUGUUUACCAAAAACACAGGUCUCCGCUAAGUCGCAAGACGAUGUAUGGGGGCUGACGCCUGCCCAGUGCCGGAAGGUUAAGGAAGCUGGUCAGCGCAAGCGAAGCUGGCGACUGAAGCCCCGGUGAACGGCGGCCGUAACGAUAACGGUCCUAAGGUAGCGAAAUUCCUUGUCGGGUAAGUUCCGACCCGCACGAAAGGCGUAACGAUCUGGGCGCUGUCUCGGAGAGAGGCUCGGCGAAAUAGAAUUGUCUGUGAAGAUGCGGACUACGUGCACCCGGACAGAAAGACCCUAUGAAGCUUUACUGUAGCUUGGUAUUGUGCCCGGGCUCUGAAUGCGCAGGAUAGGUGGGAGGCUUUGAUCAUCGGCUUGCGGGUCGAUGUGAGCCAACGGUGAGAUACCACUCUUUCAGAGCUAGGGUUCUAACAGUCACCCGUUAUCCGGGGACUGGACAGUAUCAGGUGGGCAGUUUGACUGGGGCGGUCGCCUCCUAAAAGGUAACGGAGGCGCGCAAAGGUCUGCUCAGGCUGGUUGGAAAUCAGCCGACGAGUGUAAAAGCAGAAGCAGGCUUGACUGUGAGACCUACAAGUCGAACAGGGAGGAAACUCGGCUUUAGUGAUCCGACGGUUCUGCGUGGAAGGGCCGUCGCUCAACGGAUAAAAGUUACUCUAGGAUAACAGGCUGAUCUCCCCCAAGAGUUCACAUCGACGGGGAGGUUCGGCACCUUGAUGUCGGCUCAUCGCAACCUGGGGCUGAAGUCGGUCCCAAGGGUUGGGCUGUUCGCCCAUUAAAGCGGUACGCGAGCUGGGUUCAGAACGUCGUGAGACAGUUCGGUCCAUAUCCGGUGCAUGCGCAGGAAUAUUGAGAGGAGUUCUCCCUAGUACGAGAGGACCGGGAGGAACGCACCUCUGGUGUACCAGUUAUCGUGCCAACGGUAAACGCUGGGUAGCCAUGUGCGGAGAGGAUAACCGCUGAAAGCAUCUAAGUGGGAAGCCACCUCAAGAUGAGUAUUCCCAUGGCGUUAGCCAGUAAGGUCACGGGAAGAACACCCGUUGAUAGGCUCUAUGUGGAAGCGCAGUAAUGCGUGAAGC